CUCAAGCAAGGUCCGCUCACAGUACAGGACCAGGGGUGGUCACCGUGUGGCCUCUCCCAGGAGGCAUGGCCUUCUUAGCUUUGUCACUGCUCGUGAAGGGAAGACCUUUGUGCCCUGCUUUUGGCAUCAACAAAAGUGAUGGACUUUCUCACUCCAGGACAUGUGCUCUGCUCACCUCUCCUAAUAGCUUGGCACAGUCCUUGAUCACUGAAGCAUGAUUUUUCCAUCUAAUGGGUUUAUCUACCAUCUAUAAUCUCUCCGAUGUUCAUCAGUUCUGGGGAGAAAGAAGGAAGAGGAGUCACUCCUCUGCUUUAUGACAAGGGGAAACCCAAACAAGGGGGUUUAUAAAGAGGGCUUUGUACUACUUAAACAUAGAGCAGUGAUUAUUUCCUUUUGAAAACCUGGUGAAAAUGUGCUCACAAAAAUUCCCCCUAUGGUUUCAGGGUUUCAUGGACUUCCUGAUGUCUUUCCAUGGACCCUCUAGGAGUCCAAGGAAUCCCUCGUAAACAACCCCUGCCCCACGUGGCUCUGGCAGCCCAAGACCUCUGAGCUUCUAGAGGGUCACAUUCAAGCACAUGAGGCAUCCUUUCAGCUGGGCCUUGGCUGAGUGUCUGACUUCUCGCCCCUCACCACAAGCUGUGAGAUGAACUUGAGUGACCUCCCCUCCCUCCCCACGAAAGAGUUAAAACCCAGUGACACAGUGACACAUCACCUGCGUUGAACAGAAUCUUCUCAGACCCAGACAAUUCCUCCUUGUUCCUGAUCCUGCAGCACAGGGUCUAAGCUGCCAUAAGGUAUCAGGAGGAUGGAUGGUCUUUACUACGAUGACAGAAAACACAGCUCAGACUGGCGUAACCAAUAACGGGAAUCUAUUGGUCCAUGACAAUAAAAAAUUUCAAGGUGGCUGGACUUUUUGCCCAUCCAGGUGAGA